CAGUUAAUUAACAUAUAAUGUAUUAUUGGUUUGAAUGAACUGUUUGACAGCCAUUUUGACCGACCAGGGACUUGGUUCCCAUUUGCGGUUGAUUCUCAGCAGCAGGGGAAAUGGUCUUACUAAGUUACCCCAUAAAGAAGGCAAACGUACUUAUGGUUUUACCCCAGAAAAACUACUCUGUGUGUCUGUGUGUUGGGGGCGGGCAAUUAUGUUAAUAUGUUUGUAAGAUUUUUAAUAUGCUUCUUGAAGCUGUCGAUUCAGUUACUGACUUGCUGGCACCCCACAAGCCUAAGCAGCUCAGUUAGCCAGCUACUGUCAUUUCCUCCACCGGGAUCCGGCUUCUUAAGAAACCAGUAAGAGCUGAUGGGGACUGUUACGAAACAAACCAGCAGGACCUGCUUCUUAGGGGAAAUGCUCUAUUUUGGACGGGACCGAAGGCUUGCCUGGUCACUGGCGCCAUCUACCGGUUACACUGACUUACUGCUCCGACGAGGGACCGUGGCCGGCGCAGGGUCCCCCGACCUGCCUGAAGAUCAGCGGCAGGUGAGACCGCGCAGGGGCUGUCCCUGAAGUUUGCCCACGGCUUACACUUACUGGCCUGUUGACUCACCGAUGAAGUCUUGUUCGAGGACCCUCUGCUGUGUAACAUCCUGAAUCAAGUGCCAGUCGGGGGAGGAAAUACUGUUUUGCCCUCAUGUGGUUUUUAACGUCCUCAAAACGGCUUUCCAUGGUUGUCCCUGUCCCUUACAGUAACGUGCAAUCAAUAAGUGGAUCCAAUAGUUGUACUGGGAGGAGGAUACUGAGGCCAGCGGAGCUGAGAGGAGCCCAAGGUGGGCCAGACCCAGCAGCCCUGGCUGCAGGUGCAGACGGGCCCUCUGCCAGGCAUGCGAGCUGGGCGGGGCAGAGGGGCACAGGCUUGCUUUAUUCCUGGUGUUUCGUCGGGAACCAUGACCUAGUGGUUCCCUAGCCUUCCUCUACCAUUUCUUUAUCUUUUGUUGUGGUUUCUAUACCUUCUGAUUUCUUGCCCCAGUUUGAACUCUGUUUGGAGAUGUGAUUUUUCGCCACAAAGCUAAAUUUAUGCACAAUUCAUUUCUGUUAUUAAUUGAACAUAUUUUAUUUUUU